rnacentral:lncRNA from 1 species
AUGCUAGAUCUGGAUUUGUACCUUGAUACUUUAUUGGUCGAUUCACUUAACUCCAAACACCUUUACGCUGUGAAACCGAGUCAGCAGAUGGCUCAGAAUGUAAACAUUUCCCAAAAAGUCAAUCAGUACGUAGUAGAAUCAAAAGGUCUAAGUGCCACAUCUAGAAAGCUGACGAACGGGCUACCGCCUGCUAAAAAGAAAUGUAAACAGUCACACCUCACCACACUAAAGCUGUCCGAGGAGACCGUCAGAGAGGCAUUUGACCACUUUGGUACCGUGGAGAGCAUAGUCCUGCCUUCCAAAUGUUCAAAACAUGUGUGUAUAGAGUUCGAAAGUUCAGAGGGUAAACUUGCAGCCCUCAGCUCUUCUGAGGAUCUGCUAAGUGACAGAUUUCUAAUUCACCCAUCUGUUACGCCGCCCCACUUACCCUCAUGGGUUGCCAUGACGACAGCAGAAACUAAAUCAAAUGAAGAAACAAAUGAGGGGAAAGAAUCGGCCCACAUGGACAGCAGUUCUCAGGAUCAGGCAGGGAAUCGUGUGAUGAAGAAACUGGACGUCAGGCUGAGAAAAGUCUUCAAAUCCCUCCCAGAAGGCAGCUUGUCUGUGGUGGUGCUGCCCGGACAAACCAGGUGA